AACUUUCCCUUCACAUCCCUCCAUCUCUCAUCAGUCACCUUAAUGUUUUAUAAUCUACCCCUCCUUCUCCAUCCUCAUGGUUGACUUGGGUGAGUUUCUGUUGGACUUUAAUAUUCAGGUAUUUUGUUGAUAGCUCCCUUCGUGGUGAACAUCAAGUAAAAGGAAUCACUCUCUAGGUGAUUAACCACCUCCCUCUGCCUGCCCACCAUGGCAGCAAACACAUCAGGGGGUAUAUCACGCACAGUAUACACACUAACACUACAUAGUUGUGGAUUUAAAUCCAGCUCUGCUGCUCAGUGCUUGUAUGCCCUUGAGCAAUUUCCUGAAGCACUGAGCCUAUAAAGAAGUGAUCUCCACCUUAGUUUCCUCAUUAGUAAGGUAAUAGGACUGCCAUUGAAUCUGAGCUUUCCUCCCUUUCACUAACAGGAUAUUUUUAAGACCAGGAGAAAUGAAAUGAUUUGCCCACGUUUAGUAAGUUGGGAAGCUUAGAUCCCCAAAACCUAAUUGUUGGAGGAAACCAUCCAGGUGCUCUGGUCCAUGCUUCUCUUGGAAAUUUGAUCACUGACCUCACAUGGACUUUGUGACAUGUCAGAGUGGGGAAAGCCAAGUCACAGAGGGCUAGUUUCUUCACAGGUGGCCCUUAUCGUCUCAGGGCUGGGAAUACCACCUGCAGGUAAAUGACCAGAAAGCCCGUGUCAGGCUCCUAACACCACUCAGGACUGAGUGUGAAUGCCGCGUGUGUGUGUCCAGUCACACAGGAUGCAGCAGAGCUGCCCGUGCCCCAGGAUGCGGCGGUUUCCCCGCAGGAGCAUGGAAGAGAGCGCCCCGAAGGGCAGCAGGGAGGAGAGGAAGCAGGCGGCCGAGUGGAGACAGUGGUGCUAGCUCCGGCAUGAGAAGGGACUGGGGGUGCCAUGGAGCCAGUGCUCAGGCACAGGACACAGCCGCAGGAAGAAGCAGGCCACUCGCAAGUGUCCAUCAACUCCCCAUCACGAAGAGGACAUUGGACCCGCUCUCCGGGACUGUAAAGAUAAAUGAGUGUUAAGAAAGUGCUAUUAUCACUAUCGUAGGACAGUAGUCUACUGAGAGAACAAAUAUCUCUGCAUGCUGACAUGGUCCUUACCAGAAUCCCAGGAACAUCUCUGUGGCAUCACCUCCCACAUUUCCUCCCAGAAAAUAUAAGGCCUCCCAGUGUCAGGAAUUUCUUGACCAAUAAAAUCUGAUCGCUGAACACUCAAAA